UACGGUGGGGGCAAGCGUUGUUCGGAAUUACUGGGCGUAAAGGGCUCGUAGGCGGCCAACUAAGUCGGAUGUGAAAUCCCCAGGCUUAACCUGGGAACUGCAUCCGAUACUGGAUGGCUUGAAUCCGGGAGAGGGAUGCAGAAUUCUAGGUGUAGCGGUGAAAUGCGUAGAUAUCUGGAGGAAUACCGGUGGCGAAGGCGGCAUCCUGGACCGGCAUUGACGCUGAGUGAGCGAAAGCCAGGGGAGCAAACGGG
rnacentral:rRNA from 1 species